GCUAAGUGUUUUGGGUGUGUGUUUGGAGGUCUUGGGUUCAAGUCUUAGUUUGGGAAAAUUCUGUUAUUUUUUUAUCCAAGCCUUAUUCCUGUUGAGUGGGCUUAUGUAAUAUCAUUUGUAAACUCAUAUCAGAAUAAGCCUGUUGGUUCGAGUGAUAAGGAGUUAGCUUGCUGGAGGUCUUAUGUUUGAAUCACUGCAUGAGUGUGGGUGAUAAUUUUUGCUUUAGUUCUCUGAGAGAGUUUGGAUGGGUUUGGAAGUCUUUAUAAGUGGAUGAGAGAGUGGGUAGUUGGGAUUGGGUUGAUAGGAGAUCAUGCCUUAAUUUGAGGGAUUUUGGUUUAUUUUUAUUUUAUUUUUGUUUUCAUUUUUUUUUCUUUUCUCUCUCUUCCUAAGGGAAAAUUCUAACGUCAAUUUCUCCAUUCUUUUUUACGUUUCCUUCUUGUUCUCCUUAUCUACAUCUUUGAUCCUUUAUCUCGUUUUCCUUCCCCUUCAAAUCUGUUUACA
rnacentral:lncRNA from 1 species